rnacentral:lncRNA from 1 species
ACAGGUUCAGGUCAUCACUUAGAUAUUUUUGAGGUACUACCAGUUUCAUCUUUUGGAGAUUCAGUCACUCCAGCUCCACUACCUACAACUCCAGUUGUAGCUCCACCACCUACAACUCCAGUUGUAGUUCCACCACCUAUAGCUCCAGUUCCUCCACAUAAUCCAGUUCAACCUUCUGCAGCUCCACCACUCUUGACUUAUCAUCGUCGUCCACAUCCAGCAUCAGGCC